rnacentral:lncRNA from 1 species
AAGCAUUGCAUUAUUUACUGUUGAUGGAGAUUGGACUAAGGAUGACCCCACUAGCCCUAGAGAUGUUGUGAGACCUGGCCGGGCCAGGCAUACUUAUCCAGUUGUUGUAAGACCUGGCCGGGCCAGGCAUACGAAGGUUGUGAGACCCGGCCGGGCCGGGCAUACUGAGACUGGAAGGGAUGUUUUGGGGUUAGGUCCAAUCCGUGAUGUGAUUUGUUUGUGCUGUGACGCA